AUUGAACGCUGGCGGCAGGCCUAACACAUGCAAGUCGAACGAGUGGCGGAAGGGUGAGUAAUGUCUGGGAAACUGCCUGAUGGAGGGGGCUAACUACUGGAAACGGUAGCUAAUACCGCAUACCAUCAGAUGUGCCAAGAUGGGAUUAGCUUGUUGGUGGGGUAACGGCUAUCCAAGGCGACGAUCCCUAGAUGGUCUGAGAGGAUGACCAGCCACACUGUAACUGAGACACGGUCCAGACUCCUACGGGAUGCAGCAGUGGGGAAUAUGGCACAAUGGGCGCAAGCCUGAUGCAGCCAUGCCGCGUGUAUGAAGAAGGCCUGCGGGUUUUAAAGUACUUUCAGCGGGGAGGCGUUACCCGCAGAAGAAGCACCGGCUAACUCCGGGCCAGCCGCCGCGGUAAUAC
rnacentral:rRNA from 1 species